rnacentral:rRNA from 1 species
UACAGGGGGUGCAAACGUUGCUCGGAAUCAUUGGGCGUAAAGCGCACGUAGGCGGUUCGUUAUGUCGGAUGUGAAAGCCCUUGGCUUAACCGAGGAAGUGCAUCCGAAACUGGCGAGCUAGAGUACGAAAGAGGAUCGCGGAAUUCCCAGUGUAGAGGUGAAAUUCGUAGAUAUCGGGAGGAACACCGGUGGCGAAGGCGGCGAUCUGGGUCGAUACUGACGCUGAGGUGCGAAAGCGUGGGGAGCAAACAGG